rnacentral:rRNA from 1 species
UACGCAGGGGGCUAGCGUUGCUCGGAAUCACUGGGCGUAAAGCGCACGUAGGCGGAUCUUUAAGUCAGGGGUGAAAUCCUGGAGCUCAACUCCAGAACUGCCUUUGAUACUGAAGAUCUUGAGUUCGGGAGAGGUGAGUGGAACUGCGAGUGUAGAGGUGAAAUUCGUAGAUAUUCGCAAGAACACCAGUGGCGAAGGCGGCCCACUGGCCCGAUACUGACGCUGAGGCACGAAAGCGUGGGGAGCAAACAGG